rnacentral:rRNA from 1 species
GUAACAAGGUCUCCGUUGGUGAACCAGCGGAGGGAUCAUUGCUGGAACGCGCCCUAGGCGCACCCAGAAACCCUUUGUGAACUUAUACCUUUUGUUGCCUCGGCGCAUGCUGGCCCCUAUGGGGUCCCCUGGAGACAGGGAGCAGGCACGCCGGCGGCCAAGUUAACUCUUGUUUUUACACUGAAACUCUGAGAAAAAACACAAAUGAAUCAAAACUUUCAACAACGGAUCUCUUGGUUCUGGCAUCGAUGAAGAACGCAGCGAAAUGCGAUAAGUAAUGUGAAUUGCAGAAUUCAGUGAAUCAUCGAAUCUUUGAACGCACAUUGCGCCCUCUGGUAUUCCGGAGGGCAUGCCUGUUCGAGCGUCAUUUCAACCCUCAAGCAUUGCUUGGUGUUGGGGCACUGCUUUUAACGGAGCAGGCCCUGAAAUCUAGUGGCGAGCUCGCCAGGACCCCGAGCGUAGUAGUUAAACCCUCGCUUUGGAAGGCCCUGGCGGUGCCCUGCCGUUAAACCCCCAACUUUUGAAAAUUUGACCUCG